rnacentral:lncRNA from 1 species
UCAGUAUUUAAAAUGGACACUGGAAAAAUUCUGAGGAGCCCCCAAAAUGUCUUCUGCAAAGCAAUGGGUCUCCACCUUUGAAUUUGCAAGUGGUGGAUACUAUGAAUCCAGUGUUAAGAGCUUCAAUUCUGGCUGAAGGCCUACUUUCCUAUCUCCAGCAUAGCCCUGUAGACAGGUACUUCAGUUCUAUCCAUCACUCUAACUGCAUCACUUAACCAUGGAGCAAGGACAAGAAGCUCAGGGGUGGAAGCCAAAGUGCAGAGUCGGAAGAGGAGUCAGAGAGGGUCGGUAGGAGCCAUUUCUUUGGCAAUGAGUAAAACCUACUGGCUGUGUCAGAUGACCCAUCGUCCAGCCUGAGUCAGCUCCACUGAUGAUGCUUGCUUCUCUGCUGAGUGUGGGACACCGUGUUGCUUUGAUUUGGUAACAGUUUGUCUUUAUAAUCAACAGCACUCACUGCCUUUCUUUUCCACUCUGCCAUUGAACUCUUUGACUUCCUCGUUCAUGCUGUCUGAAGACUUCAGUGAGCACUCUUUCUAGCUCCAAAUCUACAAUAAUGGCAUUCACUUCUUUUACUUAUUUAAUAAUUUUGUCUUGAACAUUGCAAUAGGAGUGGGGAGGACCAGAAUGCCUUAGGGUUGUGGCACCUUUUCAGAUGACAAUAACAAGUAAAUUUGAUUACAGAAGUAUCAAGGGCUGUUUUGAGGACUUUACAUGUAUUAUUGCAUUUAAUUUUUACCAUAAUACAAGGAGGUAUUUUACAGCUGUCAUAUCCAUAAAGAGCUAGUAAGUGGCAGAUGUGAUUCAAAUCCCUGACUCAAAUCUCAUUCAUAGCCAGGUGUCUGUAAUUCCAGUGGCUCAGGAGGUUGAAGCAGGAGGAUCUCAAAUUCAAAGCCAGCCUCAGCAACUUAGCAAGGCCCUACGCAACUUGGUGAGAUCCUGUGUCAGAAAUAAAAAUAAAUAAAAGGGUUGGGGAUGUGGCUCAGUGGUUAAACGUUUCUGGGUUCAAUCCCUGGUACAAAACAAAUAAACAACUCACACUUAUACCACCACCUAGUUCUCCAGUGGCAGUGUUUUUUAAAGUUAACUUUUUGUUAUGGAAAAUGCUGAAUAUACAGAAGUAGUAAGAAUAGAAUAAUAAGUUCUU